CGAAAGGUGCAAGCGUUACUCGGAAUCACUGGGCGUAAAGCGCGCGUAGGCGGUCUCGUAUGUCGAUUGUGAAAGCCCUGGGCUCAACCUAGGAACUGCAGCCGAAACUGCGAGACUUGAAUGUUGGAGAGGGUGGGGGAAUACCUAGUGGAGAAGUGAAAUUCGUAGAGAUUAGGUGGAACACCAGAGGCGAAGGCGCCUGCCUGGCCAAACAUUGACGCUGAGGCGCGAAAGCGUGGGAGCAAACAGGAUU
rnacentral:rRNA from 1 species